rnacentral:rRNA from 1 species
CGCAAUCGCCCUUCGGGGUGCACCAGGCGCGAAAACUCUACAAUGCAGGCAACUGCGAUAGGGGGACAUCGAGUGGCAUCCACCUUGGGUGCCUGUCCCACCGUCUAAAAAACGGUGGUUAGCAAGGGCCGGGCAAGACCGGUGCCAGCCGCCGCGGUAAUACCGGCGGCUCGAGUGGUGGCCGAUAUUAUUGAGUCUAAAGGGUCCGUAGCCGGCUUUGCAAGUCCCCUGGGAAAUCCAGCGGCUUAACCGUUGGGCUUUCAUGGGAUACUACAUUGCUUGGGACUGGGAGAGGUAGGAGGUACUCGGGGGGUAGGGGUGAAAUCCUGUAAUCCCCCGGGGACCACCGGUGGCGAAGGCGUCCUACCAGAACAGGUCCGACGGUGAGGGACGAAAGCUAGGGGCACGAACCGGAUUAGAUACCCGGGUAGUCCUAGCCGUAAACGAUGCCCGCUAGGUGUCACGGCGGUCGUGAAUCGCCGUGGUGCCGUAGGGAAGCCGCGAAGCGGGCCACUUGGGAAGUACGGCCGCAAGGCUGAAACUUAAAGGAAUUGGCGGGGGAGCAC